rnacentral:rRNA from 1 species
UGCAAGUCUCAGCACCCCCGUGAGAACGCCCUUUAAACCUACCCCAGGAUAAGGAGCUGGUAUCAGGCACAGCACAUCUUGCCCAUUACACCUAGCUUUGCCACACCCUCAAGGGUAUUCAGCAGUGAUUAACAUUGUCCAUGAGCGCAAGCUCGACUCAGUUAGAUAAAACAGAGCCGGCCAAUCCGGUGCCAGCCGCCGCGGCUACACCGUCGGGCUCAAGUUGAUAAUCAUUCGGCGUUAAGCGUGUUUAAAGUUCAACCCAAUGUUAGAAUUAAACUCAAACCAAGUCGUGACACACUUGUUUUUAAGAGAACCAUAAACGAAAGUUAUUCUAACCAAACCACUUGAAUCCACGACAGCUGGGGGACAAACUGGGAUUAGGUACCCCACUAUGCCCAGCCGUAAAAUAUCUACUCACACCUAACCCGCCCGGGAAUUACGAGCCCAAGCUUAAAACCCAAAGGACUUGACGGUGUCCCACCCUACUAGAGGAGCCUGUUCUAUAAUCGAUUCCCCCCGAUACACCUCACCACUUCUAGCCUCUCAGCCUGUAUACCUCCGUCGCAAGCUUACCAUGUGAACGCACCACAGUGAGCCUAAAGAUUAUACCAUAAACACGUCAGGUCAAGGUGCAGCCAACGAUGUGGAAAGCAAUGGGCUACAAUUUCUACCUAAUAGAACAAACGAAAGACUACAUGAAACUUAGUCAUGAAGGCGGAUUUAGCAGUAAAAAGAAAAUAGAGAGUUCUUUUUAAUAAGGCACUGGGACGCGUACACACCGCCCGUCACCCUCUUCAAAUGUACUUAUCUAAAGUUCUUGACACAUCAACCAACCACAGAA